UUGUUCACGGUAAUGUUAAUGACAAUUUUAAUAAUGCUACUUAUAUAUCUUGAAAAUUAAUAUUAAGAAAAAAUUAAAUGUACGAAUAUAUUACAUAAAUGAGAGGAUUUAUAAUGUCAAGGGCAUAAUAGACUUUUCAGGUGAAAGGUUUGUAAAAUUUUAUCAAAGUGAUUAUUGUGAUAACUAGAGCAUAGUAAAAUGAUUUUUGUGUAACAAAGGAGAAAAAAUGACUUUUGGGUAAUAAACACACAGUUGAAUGACUUUUACAUAACAAAAGAAAGAAAAGUACUUUUAGGUAAUGAACAAAAAGUUGAAUGACCGUCCAUAAAAUUUACUCUAAAAAUAACAUAUAGAUAGAGAGAAAUUGAACUUGCCUUAACCACCAUGCUAUUUGGUCUGCUAUUAAUUGGUGAUCUUGGUAUAGGGGGUAACAAAGAUUCUAUAACCUCACCAUCCUAAACAAGAAGAAUUAAGAGGAAAAAAGCAAAAUCAAUCAAUGAAGUUGAAGCUUUAUUAAUUGAAACUCAUUAGACUGAAAUCUUGGAUUAAUUAGUACAAGAUCUUCAUCACUCAGAAGAUAUAGAAGAGGUCAUGCAUACCUUGGAAUCUUCGUUUAGGCUUAGCUGUUCUUCAACGUCUUUUCCCAUAUAGUGUCUGCACUUUGAUUAAACUGAACAAGCAACUGUUUUAAGGCCAGGAACUGAAAUCUGGAGAUUUUGACAAAAAUAAAUGUGCAGAAGAAUUGCUAAUUGAUUUGCACAAUGAUAUGGCAAAUAAUUAAACGUUAAAUAUAUAUUUAACAUUAAAAGGGGACACAAAGACGCCGACAAUAAUAAAAGUCAAUUACUGAUUCACUCUCUCUUUAGGUAACUAAGGUAAUCUCAUGCCCAAGGAGGCAUCUUUAGAAUAAAGUAUAAACUAGAAAAGAAAAUAUUUGAAGCUUGUGAUUUUGCAUAUGAUAUUUCAAUAAGAAGUUUAUAAUCAAAUUAUUUUAGUUAUGUAAAAAUAUUCUAUAUUAAUUUUUAGAAUAUAUUAAUAAAAAAAUAAUAUCACAUAAAAUAAAACAAAAUUACUAUCUUUUUUUUUUCCUUUGUGCCCGAUAGGACAAUAAGUGAUUAGUAGGUUACAAUUGGAACCUUCAAGUUAUGAGUCAGAAUCUUAGUGAUUUCUG
rnacentral:lncRNA from 1 species